GCAUAUCAAUAGCCGAGAAAAGAAAACUAACAAGGAAUUCCCCUAGUAACUGCGAGUGAAGCGGGAAAAGCUCAAAUUUAAAAUCUGGCGGUCUUCGAUCGUCCGAGUUGUAGUCUGGAGAAGCGUCUUUCCGCGCUGGACCGUGUACAAGUCUCUUGGAACAGAGCGUCGUAGAGGGUGAGAAUCCCGUCUUUGACACGGACUACCAGUGCUUUGUGAUGCGCUCUCAAAGAGUCGAGUUGUUUGGGAAUGCAGCUCAAAAUGGGUGGUAAAUUCCAUCUAAAGCUAAAUAUUGGCGAGAGACCGAUAGCGAACAAGUACCGUGAGGGAAAGAUGAAAAGCACUUUGGAAAGAGAGUUAAACAGUACGUGAAAUUGCUGAAAGGGAAACGAUUGAAGUCAGUCGCGUCGUCUAGAACUCAACCUUGCCUCGGCUCGGUGCAUUUUCUAGUUGACGGGCCAGCAUCAGUUUUGACCGUUGGAAAAAGGUCCUUGGAAUGUGGCACCUUCGGGUGUGUUAUAGCCUCGGGUCGUAUACGACGGUUGGGACUGAGGACCGCAGCACGCCUUUAUGGCCGGGGUUCGCCCACGUACGUGCUUAGGAUGCUGGCGUAAUGGCUUUAAACGACCCGUCUUGAAACACGGACCAAGGAGUCUAACAUGCCUGCGAGUGUUUGGGUGGUAAACCCGAGCGCGUAACGAAAGUGAAAGUUGGGAUCCCUGUCGUGGGGAGCACCGACGCCCACACCAGACCUUCUGUGACGGAUGUGCGGUUGAGCAUGUAUGUUGGGACCCGAAAGAUGGUGAACUAUGCCUGAAUAGGGUGAAGCCAGAGGAAACUCUGGUGGAGGCUCGUAGCGAUUUCUGACGUGCAAAUCGAUCGUCAAAUUUGGGUAUAGGGGCGAAAGACUAAAUCGAACCAUCUAGUAGCUGGUUCCUGCCGA
rnacentral:rRNA from 1 species